AGUGGCGCACGGGUGAGUAACACGUAGGUAAUGUGCCUUUAGGUCUGACAUAAUUCCGCGAAAGCGGGACUAAUAUCAGAUGAUGCAGCGGCUCGACAUCGAGACAGUUGUUAAACCUUCGGGGCCUAAAGAUGAGCCUGCGUCUGAUUAGGUAGUUGGCGGGGUAAAAGCCCGCCAAGCCUGCGAUCAGUAGCUGGUCUGAGAGGAUGAUCAGCCACACUGGAACUGAGACACGGUCCAGACUCCUACGGGAGGCAGCAGUAAGGAAUAUUGCUCAAUGGCCGAAAGGCUGAAGCAGCAACGCCGCGUGGAGGAUGAAAUACUUUUGUAUGUAAACUCCUGUAAGAGGGGAAAAACAUCCCGAUUUAUCGGGAUUGAUUGUACCUUCAGAGUAAGCCCCGGC
rnacentral:rRNA from 1 species